rnacentral:lncRNA from 1 species
CCUUAAGAGGCAAUGUUUGCGCUUGUUUAUCUUUGUGCCUUGUACAUGUGAAGACCUCCUAAGUGAAGAGGCAUUGGAAGAUAGAAGGGAUGUGCAACCCAUCCCCUGCUAUUCAGUUGAGUCUUUCAUCUUGCUCGUACUACGUGCUGAUGCAUUUUGAAUAAACACCCAAGAUCCUUGUAUAUAGAGUCGGUCAAGUGGAGUAGAGUCCCACAUUCUUGACUCCCACACCUUCA